UCUCUUUUCUCCUUCCUUUUCUCUCUAAUUCUUCUUCCUUUUCCUCUGUUUUUUUUUGGGUUUCAAGUGUUUCUUGGAAUCUAGAAUCUCCCUAAUUUUUUUUUUCUUCUACUAAACAAAAUCAUAAAACAGGGUUUCUUAUUUUUAAAUCUUUUAAACUAAUCUUAAUGCUACCCCAAUUAUUUUUAAUUUUUGAAAUUCAUGUCUGCAAUUCUGAGUGAACUGUUUCUUUCGGGGUUUAUGAUAAAUUCCACAUAUAGGCGCAGGACCCAUUUGGUGCAAUCUUUCUCUGUUGUUUUUCUUUACUGGUUUUACUUCAUCUCAUAGCCCGGCUAGCUUAAUAACACUACUAUUUUUAUAUAAUUUUAUUAAUCUAUAAAAAUAAAAAUUAAAAUUAAAUCUAAAAAACUAUAUUUUUGCAUUCUACUCUGUUUUUUUUUUUCUUAAAAUCAAAAACUCCAUCUGGGUCCUGCUAAUUUUAACUUUGUUGAAAAAAUUUUGGGUCAUGGCUUCGUCAAGUGGUACAUCAUCAGGUUCAUCGUUUAUACAAAACUCGGGUUCAGAAGAAGAUCUUCAGCAAUUAAUGGAUCAGAGGAAGAGAAAAAGAAUGAUAUCGAAUCGUGAAUCGGCAAGAAGAUCAAGGAUGAGAAAACAGAAACAUUUGGAUGAUUUGAUGAGUCAAGUAACAAAUUUAAGAAAAGAAAAUAAUCAGAUUUUGACAAGUAUGAAUGUUACCACACAACAUUAUCUUAACGUUGAAGCUGAAAAUUCAAUAUUGAGGGCUCAAUUAAGUGAACUUAGCCGUAGGCUUGAGUCACUUAAUGAAAUCAUUGCAGUUUUGGAUGCAAACAGUGGACUUGUCAUGGACCACAAUGAGCCUUAUAGCUUCAAUUUUGCACAAAAUGACAUUAUGUUUGAUGGGUUCAACGUGACCAAUUCUUGGAAUUAUCUAUCGGCCAAUCAACCCAUUAUGACUGCCGAUGUCUUGCAGUACUGACGUGAUGACAAUAUUAGUCGAGCAAGUGAAUUUCAAAUGAAAAAAAAAAAAUUUAAACAGAGAGGAUCCUCUUUUUAUGUAUUAUCAAGUAGUAGAUGUAUUAGUGAUCUUGCUUAAGAUUUUUCUUUUGUCAAGUAUUAUUAUUAAGAAUAAAUCCUUUCUAGGAAUAUUGGUGUUCUUGUAAAUGUGGGGUUUGUAAUCUUAUUUGUAGUUUCUCUUUCAAAAACUUAAUUAUGCGAUUGUAAUUGGUAAGUAUAUUAAUAACCAUUUCAAGAAU
rnacentral:misc_RNA from 1 species